UUUAUUUAUUUAAAAAAAAAAAAUACAUGAUUCUUCAGACAAGGCAACCUUCUUCCAUUACUCCAUGGUUCAGUUCUGACACUGACAACUACACUGAAGGUGCUUUCGGCAGUGGACAGAAGUCAUCAUUGGCACUCUAACCGAUCUGCGGCUAUGCAUCCCCAUACACAGCAAACUCUUAUGCACCAUGAGUUCUGACACCUUUCUAUUAUGACCAGCAUU